CAGGAAUGGGUGUGCAAAGACAAGCAAGGUUUGGUUAUGAAAAACCUUGAAUGCCACACCAGGGAGCCUGAAUUUUACUUCAGCUUGUUGCAGAGAGGGAAGCAUGAAAGAAAUACAAUGCAAGAGAGGUUCUCUGUUGCUGAGUGGAGGUGGCCCAUAGCAAGGAUCUGAGAUUCAUCAACAGCCAGCAAAACAAUGGGGACUUCAGCCCUACAACUACAAGGAAAUGAAUUCUGCCAUCAACCUGGAGUAGCUUGGAACAGUCUUUCCCUAAGUCAAGCUUUCACAUGAGGGUGCAGCUGGUCAACACCAUGAUCCCAGUCUGAGAACCUGAGCUAAGUACCCAGCUAAAACACCCUGGACUCCUGACCCAGGAAAACUGUGAGAUAGUUAAUUUGUGUUGUUUUAACCUGCUAUUUUUGUGAUAAUUUGUUGUGCAGCAAUAGAGAGCUAACACACUCUCUAAAAGUAAUAAAGAUUUAAGCCCAUAAAGGGAGGCUAUUACAACAGAGGAGAGGUGGCCAACAAAUUUUGCAAGAUGAGAAACAGGUAGACAUAGGUCACUAAUUUAGAAGAACAGAAAAAGCACCUGCAGAAGGGGAAGCCAAAAAGUAACUAUCUGAUUUGGGACUCAGGAAGUAGAGAGACAAGUGCCUCUGAAGAAUGGGGUGCACAUGACACUGCAAACCGGAAGACUAGGCAGGAGGCUGCAUGAGGAGCUGCUGGACUCCCUAGAGUCCCCUCUCUGCCCCUACCCAGCCAAACAACUUUCCAACCCUCACCUCCACAGGAGGCAAAUGGUUACCCUCUGAGAUGCUGAAUCAGAUAGACUCUGGACUUGAGGACAUCUGUCACAAAGAAUAGUAGGUGUGAGGUGAAGUACUAAAACAGGAGUAUUAAGUGAGGCCCCUAUACUGAGCCAUGGAACUCUUCCCCCCUCACCCCCCAUCCUUUUCCCCUUUCCCUCACCCCCUUGGGAAGGAGACUGGAACAAUGUCUCUGUAGAAAUGAAGCUGAUAAUGCUUCUCCCUACCCUACUUCCACUCCAUGUGUGCACAUGUAUACACACGGAUAUGCACACAGCAUAUAAUCAGCUUUUUGUACCUCUUUUAUACUUAAGACAUGACUAGAAAAAAAAUUAGCAGACAUUUGAAAUCUCUAGUAUAGAAAAAAAUCAAAACAAAGAAGAAAAUGAGAGUCAGAAAAUGCAGGGAACAGGAAAAAAAAAACCUAAGCAAAAACAAUAUUUCAUCCAUGAAACAACAAAAUAGGAUCCUACUUACAAAGGGACACAUUCAGAAAACAAGAAAAAGCUCUUGGAUAUUAAAGAUUAAGAUAACAGGGAAAAAUGUUUAAAUUGACACCAUGUGUAGGAGAUAAAAGUGAGGCAAUCUCCCAGAAAAUAGCACACAAAGAUAGAAAAUAGGAAAGAAAAGAUAAGAAAAUUAGGUGAUCCAUCCCUGGAGGUCCAACUUCCAACCAACAGGAGUCAGAGAAAGAGAAAUGCAAAGAAAAUGGUUGAGUGAAAAUUAUUAAAGAAAUAUAUAAGAAAGUUCUCUUCUAUGGAGGAUCUCAUUAGAAACUUCCAGAGAAAAAAGGCAGGUGACAAAAUAUUAGAAAUCUGAAUGGCAUCUGACUUCCAAGGCAACACUGGGUUCUAAAAGACAAUGGAGGAGUUUCUGCAAAAUUCUGAGUGAAAACAAUUUUCAGCAUAAUGAUAUAUACUCAAUCAAAUUACUUAUCAAGUGUGAGGGAGGGAUAAUUGCAUUUUCAGAUAUUAAGCCCUCAGUCUCAAAAAAGUUACCUCUGAUGCACCAUUUCUAAGGAAGCUAGUGGAGGAUGCAGGCCACAAAACAAAGGAAUAAUCCAAAAAGGGGGAAAGCACUGGGUCUGGAAAUCAGAGAAUCUCAAAGAGGACAAAGGAAAAGGGUUACUGGGGUGCCAGUGAAGGGAGUUUCAGAAGGCUGAGUGUUGCAGACUUAGAAAGCAACCAGUCAACAGGUCGGGAACAUCUCCCAGGAAAUUGCACAAAUGACACAUGGCUUGGAGUACCUAUUUGUUUUCAAUAUGGUUUGUCAAAGGGUUUGCUAACAAUUGUAAUUAAGAACAAAGAAAAAUGAGAAGAUUAAAAAUUAAACUCCAGGACAACCAAUAAGUUAUAGAAGUGGAG
rnacentral:lncRNA from 10 species